ensembl:lncRNA
CUUGGCAAAGCGUCGCAGUUCCCAUGUCGAGAAACGUUAUGAAAUGCUAUAUAUCCUACUGGUGGUCAUGGGUCAUUACGACCAGUCAGCGGCUUCGUUACGGCGUUUUCUUUUCACGUUUCAACCCCGAUCAGCCGGAAAAUAAUAUAAAUAAAUGAAUAAAACGCAACUGGGAACCACUCCUUACAUACCAGGCUUCUCCUGUCACGCGGUCGUGUUCGGAGUACAGCACAGCAGAGGGUGUGCACGAGACGCGAGGGUGCUCGAGCUCAGCAACUCGACAACACUCCAAGAACGAAUAAGAGUGUCUUCAUUUCAGAGAUAAAAGUCUGGGGGCUUUUUUGAUGAGGUGAGAUGGCAGAGCAGAUAGUCUACAAUGCCGAGCCUGAAAAGUUUUAGUCAUGAUGUACUAACAGGCCUGCCUGUGAGGUCCAUAACCGACGGUCCAUUUAUAUUUCAGGAGCAUCGUUAGCUGCAGGCGUCUGUAGCAAGAAGCUUCCUCUUGGCUUAGGGCUUUGAUCCGGUGUAGUACAAACAGUGCAAAAACCUGAAAGAGAAAUGAUACUGACUCGAACGGACGGGGGAAAGAGGAAGACGGGUGAUGAGGUGAAAGCGUGCGAGAUAUAUAAAUAAAGGCGGGCAGGAAUUUCACGUGAAGAGCCAUAGAAGAACGCAGACGGGCUUUUCAGUACAGCGACUGCGACACCGGCACGUAUACCGUACGCCGUCGACUCCACGCGUCUCUCUCUUCAGGGACCGGGACGCGAAGUUUAACUCCUUUCAGCGUCGGUAGGCAGGACGUCUCGGCCCGUCGAGACGCUGAGAUGGAAAAACCGCUCGACAUGAGUAAAAUCUUUUGAACGACACAUCAGACUUCAGUACGAACCACAACACAGCAGUCAGUAAAAAAAAAAAACACACGACGAAGAAAAACCCAGAGGAAAAAUCCCAUUAAGUAUCCAUAUUUGGACAUAUUGUUUGUUUAUUUAUUUAUUUAUUUAUUUUUAUGGUACACCAUUGGCACAGAUUCUGCUCUUAUAAAACCACGCUGUAUAGUUUCCCUAGUUCUUCAGUGCUACUGCAGGAUAAGUGUGUGUUUACAUGAGAGAGAGAGACAUGAGAGAGAGAGACAUGAGAGAGAGAGAGACAUGAGAGAGAGAGAGAGACAUGAGAGAGAGAGAGACAUGAGAGAGAGAGACAAGAGAGAGAGACAUGAGAGAGAGAGAGACAUGAGAGAGAGAGAGAGACAUGAGAGAGAGA